UAACACAUGUUAAGUUUGCUGAAAAUUAACACAGUUGAUGUUGAGAGGACGUUUCUUUUUUGCUGAGUUUACAAUGUAGAAAAUAGUAAAAAUAAACAAAUGCCCUUGAAUGAGUAUGUGUCCAAACUUUUGACUGGUACUGUAUAUCAAGCCAAUGCUAUCAGCAGAGGUUGUAUGUUUCAAAACGCCACAUCCCUUCAGAUUUGAACUUUUUCAUUUAGCAGAAGUUCAAUCUGGUCAUGAGGUAAAUGUUACAGACUAGUGUGCAAGUGUUUUUUAAACUUCCAUAUGUCAACACAAUGUAUUGGACAGCACUGUCUCUCACACAUUUUAAUAACAGUUCAUUCAGAACUAUAAGCAAUGUAUGAAACUUGAAAGGGUAGUUUCUAUGUGUGUUAUGUUCAUCUUAUGUGUUUCACCCCAACAGAAACUCAGUUGAGUCGAUUGUGAAUGUAUUGUGUUGUAAGAACUGUGUCCAUUGCCAUAAGCAGUAUUAGAAUGUCUGUACAUAAAGAUAACUUUGUCUAGGAUUGUGCUCAUAAGUGUCAUGGUUAGCCACUGCAAAUAUCCCUCAUUCUGCUGUGUCGGGCUUCAGCCUUGAGAGAAAGAUGAACAAUGAAUCCCACUGUGACUGAGGAAGCCUUACGACUGAGUAAUGCUUUUAACAUGCAUUGUACUAAAAAUGCCAUUUGAAAAUUUUACAUUUAUCUGUGUGCAUGCCUCAUGAUAGUAUCAAAUCAUUAUGUCAAGAUAACAAUAAAAUCUCAAAUAAACCCCCAUUUCUGUUUGGCUGGCUCAUUUGAAUAUAUUUGUUUUACUGUGAAUUGUCAUUAGGUUUUAUCAGUCAACAGUUUUACAUAAACCAUUUACAUUUUUAAAUAUUUAUUGUAUGACCAGGAGAUUGAUUGUCUCUAUUACAAUAUGUGCAACACACUGGACUUGAAAUACAGUGGGUGAAUUAGUCUCUACCUCCUCCUGGUGGCAGCAGCUAGGUACUGACUAGAGGACGAGACAAAA